rnacentral:rRNA from 1 species
UAAGGAAUAUUGGUCAAUGGACGCAAGUCUGAACCAGCCAUGCCGCGUGAAGGAUGAAGGUCCUCUGGAUUGUAAACUUCUUUUAUCUGGGACGAAAACGGGAUUUUUAUCUCAAUUGACGGUACCAGAGGAAUAAGCACCGGCUAACUCCGUGCCAGCAGCCGCGGUAAUACGGAGGGUGCGAGCGUUAUCCGGAUUUACUGGGUUUAAAGGGUGCGUAGGUGGGCUUAUAAGUCAGUGGUGAAAUCUCCGAGCUUAACUUGGAAACUGCCGUUGAUACUAUAGGUCUUGAAUUAUCUGGAUGUAAGCGGAAUAUGUCAUGUAGCGGUGAAAUGCUUAGAUAUGACAUAGAACACCAAUUGCGAAGGCAGCUUACUACAUAUAAAUUGACGCUGAGGCACGAAAGCGUGGGGAUC